rnacentral:rRNA from 1 species
CCUACGGGGGUCAGCAGUGAGGAAUAUUGGUCAAUGGCCGGAAGGCUGAACCAGCCAUGCCGCGUGAAGGUCAGUGCCCUAUGGGCGUUAAACUUCUUUUGUGCGGGAGCAAUAAUGGUCACGUGUGGCCAGACGAGAGUACCGUACGAAUAAGCAUCGGCUAACUCCGUGCCAGCAGCCGCGGUAAUACGGGGGAUGCAAGCGUUAUCCGGGUUUAUGGGGUUUAAAGGGGGCGCAGACGGCGAUGCAAGCCAGGAGGGAAAGCCCGGGGCCCAACCCCGGGACUGCUGUUGGAAGUGCGUGGCUGGGGUGCAGGAGGGGCAGGGGGAAUUCCUGGUGUAGCGGUGAAAUGCGUAGAUAUCAGGAGGAACACCGGUGGCGAAGGCGCCCGACUGACGCUGAGGCACGAAAGCGUGGGGAUCGAACAGGAUUAGAUACCCCAGUAGUC